CCUACGGGUGGCAGCAGUGAGGAAUAUUGGUCAAUGGGCGGAAGCCUGAACCAGCCAAGUAGCGUGCAGGAUGACGGCCCUACGGGUUGUAAACUGCUUUUAUACGGGAAUAACGCGCCUUACGUGUAGGUCUUUGCAUGUACCGUAUGAAUAAGCACCGGCUAAUUCCGUGCCAGCAGCCGCGGUAAUACGGAAGGUACGGGCGUUAUCCGGAUUUAUUGGGUUUAAAGGGAGCGUAGGCUGUAUGUUAAGCGUGCUGUGAAAUGUCAGGGCUCAACCCGGGCCUUGCAGCGCGAACUGGCGUGCUUGAGUCUGCGGAAGGCAGGCGGAAUGCGUGGUGUAGCGGUGAAAUGCUUAGAUAUGACGAAGAACCCCGAUUGCGAAGGCAGCUUGCUGCGGCGGAACUGACGCUGAUGCUCGAAAGCGCGGGUAUCGAACAGGAUUAGAUACCCGUGUAGUC
rnacentral:rRNA from 1 species